rnacentral:piRNA from 1 species
UAACAUAACCGAGGAUAGUCUCUAACGC